CAUGCCGAACACAGAAGUUAAGCUCUUGAACGCCGAUGGUAGUUGGGACUUUGUCCCUGUGAGAGUAGGACGUUGCCAGGC
rnacentral:rRNA from 1 species